rnacentral:tRNA from 1 species
GCGGAUGUGGUGGAAUUGGCAGACACGUUAGAUUCAGGUUCUAAUGAGGUUUCCCUCAUGCGGGUUCAAGUCCUGUCAUCCGCA